ensembl:lncRNA
GUUUGGCAUUAACAAGUAUGUUACAACAAAUUCAGUAUAGAGAACUGGUACCAUAGAACUUGUGAAUGAUGAUUCACUUAUAUAUGUAUCCCCUAUAUAUAUAUAUAUAUAUAUAUAUAUAUAUAUAUAUAUAUAUAUAUAUAUAUAUAGGUAGACAGCACUCCUCUAUUGCAUUAAUAUUACAUUCUGGCUAUUUUGAGGUUUAUUUCAAGUGCUUCUUCUGUUACCUCCUGCCUUUACGCGGGUAUUUUCUAUGUUAAUGUUCUUUCUCUUCAUACUGUACCUUCAUCCAGUAAUCAGCUCACUUGGGUUUGUGUCCUUCUCUUCCCUUAGAUACAUGUUUACUUUUCUCUGCUAUUAGGAGUCCUUGACAUGCAUGGGCUGUGCUGACCCCAGGAAAAAUGACUUGUCCUUGGUUCCCUUUCUGCCUUUGUGUGAUGGAGUCUUGCUCUGUUUCCCAGCCUGGAGUGCAAUGGCACAAUCUCGGCUCACUGCAACUCUGCCUCCCAGGUUCAAGUGAUUCUCCUGCCUCAGCCUCCCGAGAAGCUGGGAUUACAGAUGCCCACCACUAUGCUCAGCUAAUUUUUUUGUAUUUUUAGUAGAUAUGGGGUUUCACCAUGUUGGCUAGGCUGGUCUCAAACUCCUGACCUCAAGUGAUCCACCCACCUUGGCCUCCCAAAUGCUGGGAUUACAGGCAUGAGCCACUUUGCCUGGCCAGGUUCAAUGUUUUUGUCCCAUGAUAAUCAAAAAUAUUUGAAGAUGAUGUAAGGGAUGAGAAGCAAUUAGCCAUGUGACAAGUAGAGAAAUAGACAAUUUGGGCAGAUGGAAUAGUAUCUGCAAAGGCCUGUUUGAAGAACUGAGGAAAAUCCAAUAUAGCUGGGGUGUGUACUGUGGAGAGGAAAAGUAAUGUGAGAUGAAAUGGAGUGACAGGCAAGGGCAAGUUCACAGAGGACCCUGGAGUACAGUAAAAGAUUUAUACUUUAGUGAAAUUACCAAGACCUUUAAGUGUUUAAAGCAGUGAUGGAAUGAUGAAAUUUAAAUCUAAGUUUAAAAAAAAAAUGUAUUUGGCUGUUAUUGGAUGAUGAAAUCAUGCUGGGUAGACAUGGAAGAGAAGCAACCAGUUAGGAGGCUGGUACAGUAAUUCAAGCAAGAGAUUAUUGUGUCAUAAACAAAUGUAGUGACAGUAUAGAUAAAGAGAAGCAGAUAGAUUUUAAAAACAUGUUGGGUACUCACUCAACAGUACUUGCAGAUGGAUGGAAUGAGAGUGGGAGGUUGAUGAAGAGAAUGAAGAAAUUAGGAAAAUUUUCCAGGUUUCUUGCUUGAACAACAUAGUGUAAGUUGGUAUUAUUUAUUAAGAAGGGGAGUGGAUUUGAUGAUAGAAUCAAGAUUUCUGUUAUAGGAAUAUUAAGUUUGGCAUUUCUGUGAGAAAUUUAAGAGAUGAUGGUAAUCAGGUGGUUGGUUGUACAUGUGUGGAACUCACAAGAGAAAUACCAUUGGCUGUCCUUAGCUGUUAGUACCUUCAAGGUAAGAUCUAACAUCUCUAAAGCCUUAGGACUUAGUACAGUGAUAGGUGCUGAGAAAAUGUCUGUUGAAUCCAGGAGUUUGGGAGAAAGGGAGUAAAGGGAAGAACACUUGACUGGAACUUGUAGGUUAAGGUGGCAGCCAUUGUCCCGGCACAUACUAGACAUAGACCUCCCGUGGCUAAUGGUAUAGUCAUUCUCAACUGAAAAGGAGCAAUUAGGUAUGUUAAAGUCAAUGACAAAAGAAAAGUGCCUCAAUCAGUUCUGGGACCAGCUCUGAAAAAUCCUGAGGCAAAAGUAGAGUUGCUCCUUGGAUCAGCCCCUUGGCCUUUUAUCUUUGUUCUGGAAAUUGGGGUUGCCAAAAUAGAACAUUCGACAGAACAAUGAAGGAGUAAAUCCAUUUGUUAUUUUUGCUACAGUUUGAAUAUCAACUGAAAAAAAAUUAAGAUUCAUUAGAAAAUUUAAGGAAGUGAUUGAAUAUAAGAUAAAUUUUGAAAAUUCAAUAAUUUCCCUAUAUAAUAAACAGUAUUAAUUAGAAACAUAAAUACAAAAAGUAUUCAAUUCAUCAUGAGCCUCCCCUGCCAUAAAACAUCCUAAGACUAAUCUUCAUGAAAAAUGUUUAGGAAUAAAGUAAACAAAACCUAUAAAACUACACUUAGAAAUAUAAAUUAAGAUUUAAAUAAUAGGGAGGCAGAUUGUCUUCCUAUACUAUCAUUAUCUUAAGUAUUUCAAGACUAUAAAUUCUUCCAAAUUUUGGUAUAGGACUAAGAAAAUGACAAUCAAAAUCACAAUGGAGUUAUUUUUGGAACUUGGCGAAAUCACUCAAAAGUUUAU